rnacentral:rRNA from 1 species
UACGGAGGGUGCGAGCGUUGUCCGGAAUCACUGGGCGUAAAGGGCGCGUAGGCGGCGCGGAUAGUCGGCGGUGAAAGCCCGGAGCUCAACUCCGGGUCGGCCGUCGAUACUUCCGGGCUUGAGCACUGUAGAGGCAGAUGGAAUUCCGGGUGUAGCGGUGGAAUGCGUAGAGAUCCGGAAGAACACCGGUGGCGAAGGCGGCUCACUGGCCCGGCAUUGACGCUGAGGCGCGAAAGCCAGGGGAGCAAACGGG